AUACGGAGGGUGCAAGCGUUACUCGGAAUCACUGGGCGUAAAGAGCGUGUAGGCGGGUUGAUAAGUCAGAAGUGAAAUCCUAUAGCUCAACUAUAGAACUGCUUUUGAAACUGUCAGCCUAGAAUAUGGGAGAGGUAGAUGGAAUUUCUGGUGUAGGGGUAAAAUCCGUAGAGAUCAGAAGGAAUACCGAUUGCGAAGGCGAUCUACUGGAACAUUAUUGACGCUGAGACGCGAAAGCGUGGGGAGCAAACAGGAUUAGAAACCCCAGUAGUCC
rnacentral:rRNA from 1 species